GAUGAGAGGUGAGAGCUGCCCCGGCCCUGCUCAACUCCAGUGUCUGGGCUGUCCCAGUCCCAGAAACAAAGGAGAGUCUGCACAAGGAGGUUGUGGGGUUUAAUCGCAACUUAAACCAGGCUUUGUGGCUGGGAGAACUGCACGAGUUUAACGUCAUCUGGAGGAAGGGCUCUGCCUGAAUUUCCAAAGCAGGGUGUGUCCGUGGCCCAAUGGAGUCUCUUUGCCAGCCUUGGCCAUGGGCAUUAUUUGUCCUGCUGG